AGAAAAUGUUUUAGAGUCCAGGUAAAUUUUUAUGGCUAAAUAUUUACUCUAAUCUAAAUUGUAUGUUUUGGUCCUGGUUAUAGCAUGCAUUUCCUGAAAAUGACUGCUGAGGAGCAGCAUGAGUCUCCAGAUGAGGAGGAGAUCAAUUAUUUGAGAAAAACAAUCAUUGACAUCGAUGAUCCUGGUCAGAGGUUCAGGAAAAGGAGACGGCUCUGAUGAGGAAUAUAUUCCUCACCUUUGUUUAUGGACAACUUCAGACUUCGAGAACUUCCAAAAUCACAUCCUGAUGUAUGCAGGAAAGCAUUUUGGCUUUAGCCCACCUGUAUACACAGCUCAGACGUUGCUUGUAACACUUGGUUACAACCACCGCCUCCCUGCACGAAACCGUGAUGGGACACAAGAUUUACCGAUGGUUCUACAAUAAAAACAUGAAGAGCGGGAGUGUGUAUACCCUGAAAGAGAAAAAGGACUAUGGCUACUGUACAUCCC